UCGGGAAUUUUGGGCAAUGGGCGAAAGCCUGACCCAGCAACGCCGCGUGAGGGAUGAAGUAUUUCGGUAUGUAAACCUCGAAAGAAUGGGAAGAAUAAAUGACGGUACCAUUUAUAAGCUCCGGCUAACUACGUGCCAGCAGCCGCGGUAAUACGUAGGGAGCACGCGUUGUUCGGAUUUACUGGGCGUAAAGGGCGCGUAGGCGGCGCGGUAAGUCACUUGUGAAAUCUCUGGGCUUAACUCAGAACGGCCAAGUGAUACUGCUGUGCUAGAGUGCGGAAGAGGCAACCGGAAUUCUUGGUGUAGCGGUGAAAUGCGUAGAUAUCAAGAGGAACACCUGAGGCGAAGGCGGGUUGCUGGGCCGACACUGACGCUGAUGCGCGAAAGCCAGGGGAGCAAACG
rnacentral:rRNA from 1 species